AUUGAACGCUGGCGGCAUGCUUUACACAUGCAAGUCGAACGGCAGCGCGGGCUUCGGCCUGGCGGCGAGUGGCGAGCGGGCGAGUAAUGCAUCGGAACGUGCCCAGUAGUGGGGGAUAGCCCGGUGAAAGCCGGAUUAAUACCGCAUACGACCUGAGGGUGAAAGCGGGGGACCGAAAGGCCUCGCGCUAUUUGAGCGGCCGAUGUCGGGUUAGCCAGUUGGUGGGGUAAAGGCUUACCAAGGCGACGAUCCGUAGCUGGUCUGAGAGGACGACCAGCCACACUGGGACUGAGACACGGCCCAGACUCCUACGGGAGGCAGCAGUGGGGAAUUUUGGACAAUGGGGGCAACCCUGAUCCAGCCAUGCCGCGUGCGGGAAGAAGGCCUUCGGGUUGUAAACCGCUUUUGUUCGGGAAGAAAUGCUCUGGGCUAAUACCCCGGGGGGAUGACGGUACCGGAAGAAUAAGCACCGGCUAACUACGUG
rnacentral:rRNA from 1 species